rnacentral:lncRNA from 1 species
GGGUCCUCACCUAACAGUUAUUGGUGCCCAACCCCACCUUUACCCUACAACAUCUCAUGUCUAUAGAGAGGUCCAGCCCCCCGAUGCAACUUGACCACUGUAUCCAGCCGAGGCAAAUCAACAUCAGAAAGGCCUUAGCAGCUCUACUACGGUAGAAGACCUAUUGACUUGAUAUUGGUUAAUCAGGUCUUAGUGUUUGCAACUUGAGCUCUUCAUAAGAGGUAAUCGAACAAUUGGCCAGGUAAGCAGGUGGGAGGCUCCCCUUACUCAGAGAGUAAGGUCCUAAUUAAGUAACCACUUUUCAUGCUUUCCUAGACACCAAUUAGA